UACGAAGGGGGGCUAGCGUUGCUCGGAAUGACUGGGCGUAAAGGGCGCGUAGGCGGAUGGCACAGUCAGAUGUGAAAUUCCCGGGCUUAACCUGGGGGCUGCAUUUGAUACGUGUGAUCUAGAGUGAGGAAGAGGGUCGUGGAAUUCCCAGUGUAGAGGUGAAAAUUCGUAGAUAUUGGGAAGAACACCGGUGGCGAAGGCGGCGACCUGGUCCUUGACUGACGCUGAGGCGCGAAAGCGUGGGGUAGCAAAACAGG
rnacentral:rRNA from 1 species